GGCUCGGUGGCGCUUGGACUGCGUCUGCCUCCUAUUACAAAACGACUCUGUACCGUAUACGUUACAUAUAGGCAGAAGAAGCCUGUUCGACUCAGGCCCGAGCCA